UUCCCCAGUCCAAAGACAGCUUCACCAAACCCUAAUAGCCGCCACCCUUUUCCACCGUCCACUGGUGGCGGCGCCACCUCUUUUCUCCGUCAAAAUCACACCUCUGAACCUCAUCCACCUCCUAAUCCCAAAUCCCCAAUUCAUUCAACUCGAAUCCCUUCGAAACUCCUCGGAUUUUAGAUCGAAAUUCAAAAUCCUAGCGCCGCCCAACUUCCUCCAGUGGCAGCGCCACUAUCAACCACCACCAAAUUUACACCAUAGGACCUCCUUACCCCCUCUCUUUCCAAAUCCAUAAUCCUUUUCCUUCGAAUGGCCCCAGAACCCGUCGAAUAUUAUUUUAAAAUCAAGGUUGUAUAGUGUCAAGGUCAGAGUUUGGGUGGAUUAGGACCAAAGAGAAUCUUGGUCAUGUGUUUUCAUUUAAAACACAUGAUCGAGGCCCAUUUUGGUCCGAAUCAAGAUUUUUAAAAGAAACUUCGAGGUUAACUUUCUUUUAGGUAUUUCUGCUCAUUUUUUUUGGUUUUGCGUGAUUCUCUUAUCAUUUUGAUUGUUUUUUUCUUUAUUUAUUUUAUUUCUGUGAUGUACUUGUUGAUCGUCUCUGCAUCUGUUUCAUUAAAAUUGCACCCGCAUGUGUUCUUGUUACAUGAAUUGAUUUUCCCUUUAAUUGUGUUUUAGUUUGUUAGUCUUUCUUUUAAUUCUGGUCUAAAGAGGGCUAUUUAAUUUAGAGGUUUUCUUCGAUUCAAAAUGUUUUGGUCAUUUUCUUAAAAAUCUUGUGUUAAAAUUCUGUCAUCUGUUUGGUUUCGAAUUUUGAAAUCAAGACUUAUUUUGAAAGCCCAAAGGAAGGGGUUAAUCCAAUGGUUUAAAGGCCCAGGUUUGAUUUGCCUUGGGUCAAUUUGACCCAAGUUGGUCCGGCAAGGUAAAUAACAUGGGUCCUAAGGGGUAGUUUAGGAAUUGUAUGUAGGGAAAUCUUGCAGUAACUGCCUUAGGAAGCUUCUUAGAAAGCUGAAAAUAGCUUAGCUUGGCUAGCAAGUCAGAAAAUGAGGGACUAACUAGCAAAAAGAAAAACUAAGAAAGGUCUAAAGUGAGAAGAACUAGGCCCUUAAGGCUGCCGUAGUAACUUGCCUAUAAAGGCAUUGUUACUUGAGGCACAAUUUAGAUUUUUUAGAGAGCUAAGAAAUACAGAAAAGAGAAAACAGCCAAAACUAAAGGAAAAAUCACUGUUCCAUUGCUCAUCUUGUGUAAUUUCUGAAGUUCUCAUUCCCUGAAAAAGUUUUCUUGUUUAAGAUAGUUCAAAAAUGGAUUGAAAUUGGGUUUGGAGGUUUGGUUUUGAAUUCUGUUCUGGUAUUUUCUCAAGUGAGGCUACCUUCUGUUACUUUUGAAUUUAAUCUGGUUGAGCUGUUUAACUGCUGUGGAUUGUUGUUCUUUAGCUGCUGGUUCCUUACUCCUCUUCUCUGUUUUCUUCUACAUCCAGGUAUACAUUUAUGAGUUAAGCAUGUAACACAGUUCAUGAAGUGUUUUGGUUGAAGAGAAAAUGAGGAUCUUUCCUCUUUAUCACAUGUUGUUUCAUCUUCGUUUUUUUUAGUUUGCUUUGUCGAUUUUUAGCUCAACAUGUUUUCCUUCUUAGUUUAUCUCGAAGUUUAUAUCAAAAUUGUAAUAGGACUCUUAUGCAGCAUAUGUUGGUUUUGUCUAUUUAAUUCCUGAGUUCUGCUUGUGGUUGAAGUGACCAUUAGUUUUGAGAGUCAUGUAUAUCUUUGUUCAAAUUGUUGAAGGUUUUGUUAAGCAUAAGGUUAAUAUAGUUAAGGUUAAACAUUAUGUUGAAG
rnacentral:lncRNA from 1 species